UACGUAGGGGGCAAGCGUUGUCCGGAUUUAUUGGGCGUAAAGAGCGUGUAGGCGGCCAGGUAGGUCUGCUGUGAAAACUCGAGGCUUAACCUCGAGCUGUCGGCGGAAACCAUCUGGCUAGAGUCCGGAAGAGGAGAAUGGAAUCCCGGUGUAGCGGUGAAAUGCGCAGAUAUCGGGAAGAACACCCGUGGCGAAGGCGGUUCUCUGGGACGGUACUGACGCUGAGACGCGAAAGCGUGGGGAGCGAACAGG
rnacentral:rRNA from 1 species